rnacentral:rRNA from 1 species
UACGUAGGGGGCAAGCGUUGUCCGGAAUCAUUGGGCGUAAAGCGCGUGUAGGCGGCCCGAUAAGUCCGCUGUGAAAGUCCAGGGCUCAACCCUGGAAUGCCGGUGGAUACUGUCGGGCUCGAGUCCGGAAGAGGCGAGUGGAAUUCCCGGUGUAGCGGUGAAAUGCGCAGAUAUCGGGAGGAACACCUAUGGCGAAGGCAGCUCGCUGGGACGUUACUGACGCUGAGACGCGAAAGCGUGGGGAGCAAACAGG